CCUACGGGAGGCAGCAGCAGGGAAUAUUGUGCAAUGAACGAAAGUUUGACACAGCGACACCGCGUGUGGGAUGACGGAUCUAGGUUUGUAAACCACUUUCAGGAGGGAAGAAAAUGACGGUACCUCCACAAGAAGCCCCGGCCAACUACGUGCCAGCAGCCGCGGUAAUACGUAGGGGGCGAGCGUUGUCCGGAUUUAUUGGGCGUAAAGAGCUCGUAGGCGGUUCAACAAGUCGGUAGUAAAAGUUCAGGGCUCAACCCUGAAAUGUCUAUCGAUACUGUUGUGACUAGGAUACGGCAGAGGUGAGUGGAAUUCCGAGUGUAGCGGUGAAAUGCGUAGAUAUUCGGAGGAACACCAAUUGCGAAGGCAGCUCACUGGGCCGCUAUCGACGCUGAGGAGCGAAAGCUAGGGGAGCAAACAGGAUUAGAUACCCUGGUAGUCCUAGCUGUAAACGAUGGAUACUAGACGUAGGAACUGGAUUGACGGUUUCUGUGUCGUAGCUAACGCGUUAAGUAUCCCGCCUGGGGAGUACGGUCGCAAGACUAAAACUCAAAGGAAUUGACGG
rnacentral:rRNA from 1 species